CUUCUUCAAUCCACAAACCCUCGCCUCCAACCACUACAACAAUCCGACCAAAUUGACAUCAAAUUCACAAAAACUUAACAAUAUUUGACAACAAUUUUUCACUCUCCGUUCAAAUUGACAACAAUUUCAUCUCAACAAAAAUAAAUUGGUCAAAAAAAAUUUUUUAAGAAGGAACCCAUUUGGCCUUAAUUUCUGUCUAGUUGCUAUGGUAUGGUUUCGUGCAGAUAUACUCUGAUAUAUUUUAGUUGGAUCACAUUUAAGAAUAAACUCAAUUAAUGAAAAUUGAGUGAAGGUAAGUUUGAUGGUGAUAUUGUAUUCAAUUGUGGUGCAAAAAUUAUGGAGGUGAAUAACAAAAUUAAUGGAGGUUGUGUGAAAAAAUUGGUUACACUAUUUUUAAUUUUCUACAACAAUCAUGGAGAUGUUAUUUUUAAUUUUUAUAAUUACGUAUGUGAUUUUUUUCUUCUAUAUUUUUUAAUUCAAAAAUUUGGUGGUAAUUUGGUGGAUAAUGAUGAUGAUGUUGGAAGGUGAAGCAUGUACGGAGAAGAAGAAGGUUUAAAGCUGAUGUUGGAAGCUUUGCAAUGAUUGUUAAUGGUGGUGGAAGGUUGAGUUGGUGGAAGAAGAAAGAGGAAGAAGAAGAAGGUAAAAAAAAUACAAAAACCAUAAAAUAGAGCUCCUCACGCGCUUUUAGUGUAGUGCAACACACACAAUGUGUUGAAUCAGCAAAAGGUGUUAAAGUGACACACUUUAUAUCUACUUGAGGUGCCAAAAGUCAACAACAUUCACUUGAGGUGUCUAAGUGAAAGUUUGUGACAAGUUUAGGGGGUCACCGAUGGAUUUGGCCAAUUAGGACAGAAGACCAUUGGCACUUUUGCCCCCAGACUUUGGUUUGGUAAAAGUGUAACACAUGAUGUAUGAGAUAUAAUAUGUCAUGAGUUAGAGUUCUGUCGUUGACAGGCGCGGACUUAGGUACUCCCUCUAUUUCAAAAUAAAUGAAUUGUUGAGUUAUUUUUUAAUGUACAAAAUUCAGGGUAGUGCUAAACGACUCGGAACCGAAUUGCCUCGAAUGACUCGAGUCAUGUAAAAAGUCUGUUUUAUCCUUUGGCUUCAAAACCACCAUUUUUUCCCCCAAAAUGCAAAACCACCUACUUUAAGUGCCAAAAUCAUUUAUUUUUCCCUUCA
rnacentral:lncRNA from 1 species